rnacentral:rRNA from 1 species
CGACGGGUAGCUGGUCUGAGAGGACGAUCAGCCACACUGGGACUGAGACACGGCCCAGACUCCUACGGGAGGCAGCAGUGGGGAAUCUUGCGCAAUGGGCGAAAGCCUGACGCAGCAACGCCGCGUGAGGGACGAAGGCCUUCUGGGUUGUAAACCUCUUUCAGCAGGGACGAUGAUGACGGUACCUGCAGAAGAAGCCCCGGCCAACUACGUGCCAGCAGCCGCGGUAAUACGUAGGGGGCGAGCGUUGUCCGGAAUCAUUGGGCGUAAAGAGCUCGUAGGCGGCUUUGCAAGUCGGGUGUAAAACCUCCAGGCUCAACCUGGAGCCGCCACUCGAUACUGCAAUGGCUAGAGUCCGGUAGGGGAUCACGGAAUUCCUGGUGUAGCGGUGAAAUGCGCAGAUAUCAGGAGGAACACCGGUGGCGAAGGCGGUGGUCUGGGCCGGAACUGACGCUGAGGAGCGAAAGCGUGGGGAGCGAACAGGAUUAGAUACCCUGGUAGUCCACGCCGUAAACGUUGGGCACUAGGUGUGGGACCCUAUCGACGGGUUCCGUGCCGCAGCUAACGCAUUAAGUGCCCCGCCUGGGGAGUACGGCCGCAAGGCUA